CUCCCUCUCUCUCUCCCUCUCUCUCUCUGUCUCUCUCUCCCCCUCCCUCUCUCUCUCCCUCUCUCUCUCUGUCUCUCUCUCCCCCUCCCUCUCUCUCUCCCUCUCUCUACGUUUCUCUCUUCUCCUCUGUCUGUCAUUCACUUGCCAUCUAUCUCUCUUUCUCCUAAUCUUUCUCCGUCUUUCUGUUUAUCCUACUUUCUCUUUCUUCAUAUUUCUCCUUAUCUCUCUCUCUCUCUUACUCUCCAUCUCACCGUUUUACUCUCUCUGUCAUUCUCUUUCUGCCGCUCUCUCUCUCUUGCUGCAAUCGAGUUAGACUUGUUUUCUCCUACUCUCUCUCUCUCUCUCUCUCGCUAUCAUCUAAAUUUUUCCUCAGUCUAUCUCUCCUUGUCUCUCCAUAUCUCUGUCUUAGAAUAAUCAUAAUAAGAAUGACAAUGAUUCUGUGUGUGUGUGUGUGUGUGUGUGUGUGUGUCUGUCUCAGGUGAAGAAGCACACCUCGGACUCGUUCCUCAGUCUGGUGUACCCAGCCAUUCCCCUCUCCUGCCCCGUAGACGUUCCCCUUUCUCCCCCGCUGCUCCACACCGACACACACACCGACGCCAACCCUGAGCCUGCGGAUGGAGGAGUGUGGGAUUUCUCCUAAUACACACUCUAUACACCCUGUACACACUGUAUCAGCUUGACAGCUCGGUGUAUCUCCCUGUCUUUCUCUGUCAUAUCUCUCAACUCUGGAGAUCAGUCCGCAGUUCACACCUUUCCCCCUACACACACUCUUCUACUGUGAGCCUCCAUACCGGCUGAUCCCGUACCUCUCGUUAUAGACCGUACAGUGGAAAAUCUUCACGUCAUCAUCCGAGCUUUGUUCCAUUGUGUACAGAAAAUAAUGGACAAACUGUCAGGAAACGUUUCCUCGCCGAUACGGAGCUGAAAAUUCCCAUAACCGCUGCAUUACUGGCUGAUUAAACGUUAGACAGUGCAGAAACCUGAACCUUGUGUUAACAGAACCUGUGAAGAAAGAUAAAGUCACUUCCAUACUGUUGAAGAACUAAAGACUGUGAUGGACUCCUUAUGGACUUUCUGUAAACUGUACGAGUCAUUAUAAUGGGUGAUAAAUAUAUUCUUACCC
ensembl:lncRNA